CGAACAUCAGCAUAGGUGCAAGCCCUCUCGCUUGGAGGGAUAUGCAAACAAACAUCCUGAUAGGGGUAAACUCGCACGCUACCGAGCAUUCAACCGAGCACAUGCAUGCCUAGUUGAAUGGUGAGAUGCGACCCCCCCUUCAUUUCGUGCUCGGCAAGCCUGCCACCGCGUACCGGAUAUGUUGGCGAUGUUACAGAACGCUGCACCUUGGUUUCUGUGCGCAUUGCGUACGUUGCUCGACCCCGCCGACCAAAACUACACGUGCCCAACUGAAGACAUUCCCGGUGGUUGUGCAGCAGCUCUUGAGGCUGUUGCUGGCUGAAAUCCAUCCUGAGCUGUUGCAACACGGCUAACGCGGGCACGUCCCUAUGCACAGCAAAUAGCUGUUCCAAGCCAACAGCGGCGUCCAUGUCACCGACAAGGCUCUAAACGUCUUAUCUGUUCUUAUGUUUAAUUAAGUUUAUGUAUGUUAUACUUUGCGCAACUUUGUAAUUUGACUUUACUCUGAAAAAGGUGCUGUAUACGUUGCACUACCGAAUCCGCGCCCGUUUGCUUGCGCAAACUGCCGCUUCGCCAAACGCUUCCUCUUCCCGCGGUCGUUUCAAGCGCCCAGUCUUGCAAGCUACGUUGUUUGCUUUCUGUGAUUUCAAUUACUGCAAAGCAGCCACGCAAUAGUCCAGCCUGCAUGCCGCGUGCGCCUGUGGCCAACAUGCCCACCUGCGCAACGCGCU
rnacentral:lncRNA from 1 species